UUUUCCUUUAAAAUGGUCCAGAGAGGCCAAAAAGGAGGUGAAGUAAGAUGCGGGAUUUCCUGUAUCUCUAUGAUCUAUGCAACCAAACCUUCUGCCUCUGACAGAAGGUUUAUUUUUU
rfam:Geosporobacter ferrireducens strain IRF9, complete genome.